CCUCUGGUAGCUCAGUUGGUAGAGCGGUGGACUGUAGAUCCGUAGGUCGCUGGUUCAAAUCCGGCCCAGAGGA
rnacentral:tRNA from 1 species